GCCUUCGUAACCUAGUCGGUAGUGAGACUGCCUACGAAGCUGGAGGUCCCGGGUUCGAAUCCCGGUAAAGGCA